rnacentral:rRNA from 1 species
UACGGGGGGAGCAAGCGUUGUUCGGAUUUACUGGGCGUAAAGGGCGCGUAGGCGGUCAGCACAAGUCAGUUGUGAAAUCUCCGGGCUUAACUCGGAAAGGUCAACUGAUACUGUGCGACUAGAGUGCAGAAGGGGCAACUGGAAUUCUCGGUGUAGCGGUGAAAUGCGUAGAUAUCGAGAGGAACACCUGCGGCGAAGGCGGGUUGCUGGGCCGUAACUGACGCUGAGGAGCGAAAGCGUGGGGAGCGAACCGG